rnacentral:tRNA from 2 species
GCCGCUUUAGCUCAGUUGGUAGAGCAGCUGUCUUGUAAACAGCAGGUCGUCGGUUCGAGUCCGACAAGCGGCUCCG